rnacentral:rRNA from 2 species
UUGGAGAGUUUGAUCCUGGCUCAGGAUGAACGCCGGCGGUGUGCCUAAUACAUGCAAGUCGAACGCGUUGGCCCAAUUGAUUGAUGGUGCUUGCACCUGAUUGAUUUUGGUCGCCAACGAGUGGCGGACGGGUGAGUAACACGUAGGUAACCUGCCCAGAAGCGGGGGACAACAUUUGGAAACAGAUGCUAAUACCGCAUAACAGCGUUGUUCGCAUGAACAACGCUUAAAAGAUGGCUUCUCGCUAUCACUUCUGGAUGGACCUGCGGUGCAUUAGCUUGUUGGUGGGGUAACGGCCUACCAAGGCGAUGAUGCAUAGCCGAGUUGAGAGACUGAUCGGCCACAAUGGGACUGAGACACGGCCCAUACUCCUACGGGAGGCAGCAGUAGGGAAUCUUCCACAAUGGGCGCAAGCCUGAUGGAGCAACACCGCGUGAGUGAAGAAGGGUUUCGGCUCGUAAAGCUCUGUUGUUAAAGAAGAACACGUAUGAGAGUAACUGUUCAUACGUUGACGGUAUUUAACCAGAAAGUCACGGCUAACUACGUGCCAGCAGCCCGCGGUAAUAA